AUUGAACGCUGGCGGCAGGCCUAACACAUGCAAGUCGAGCGGGGUUUUCGGACCUAGCGGCGGACGGGUGAGUAAUGCGUAGGAAGCUGCCCGAUAGAGGGGGAUACCAGUUGGAAACGACUGUUAAUACCGCAUAAUGUCUACGGACCAAAGUGUGGACCUUCGGGCCACAUGCUAUCGGAUGCGCCUACGUGGGAUUAGCUAGUUGGUGAGGUAAUGGCUCACCAAGGCGACGAUCUCUAGCUGGUUUGAGAGGAUGAUCAGCCACACUGGAACUGAGACACGGUCCAGACUCCUACGGGAGGCAGCAGUGGGGAAUAUUGGACAAUGGGCGCAAGCCUGAUCCAGCCAUGCCGCGUGUGUGAAGAAGGCCUUCGGGUUGUAAAGCACUUUCAGCGAGGAGGAAGGGUGGUGUGUUAAUAGCACAUCAUUUUGACGUUACUCGCAGAAGAAGCACCGGCUAACUCUGUGCCAGCCGCCGCCGUAA
rnacentral:rRNA from 1 species